rnacentral:lncRNA from 12 species
UGCUCACAGUUUUGUCUUCCCAGGACUGGCACACAACAGAUGCUCCACGAUAUUUGGUGAGAAAAUGGAUGAGACACUCGUAGCUCUCCAAAUGUUCUGCUGCCUGAGAAUUUAUUUCCUGGUGCCCAUUGGUCAGGACCUGCCUUCAGCUUCUUUUCCCUUGAACUGAUUCGUGGGAGACGACUUGAGCGAAACCCAAAAAACCCAUGUUCAGACCUGAUGCUAAGGGGCUGAAUGACGCUGGACAGAACAUAAUACCUUGGGUCCUCAAUUUUGUGAUGAUGGUUAAAUGAGUGAUUCUCAAACCAGUUCUGACAUCUUGAAAAGGUGCUUCUGACUUCACAGUUACCAUGUAAUUAGAGCUUUGAAAUGACAGUGCAGUGAACUCUCCUUGAUAUUCCCCUAAGCCUCUACAUUGAAUGGUGAUGAGGAUCCUAUUUGGAAGCUUUCAAUGGUGUCUUCUCCAGGGGAAAAGGUGAAGAAUAUUUUGUAAGCGACACUGUCUUUUCAAUUUUUACCUCCUGAUUUUGAGCACGGCGAUUCUACUAAGCUGUGUUUUCUUUUCCCUGUGAAAAUGGUUUUGUGAGAAAAUGUAACCAGUGCAAUUAUACUGAACUUUCAUAAGAUGAAACGUUAAUAAAAUGAAUGUUUGACCAAUAAAAUACUUGAUG